rnacentral:rRNA from 1 species
GUGCUUGCACUUCUGACGUUAGCGGCGAACGGGUGAGUAACACGUAAGGAAUCUACCUAUAAGCGGGGGAUAACAUUCGGAAACGGGUGCUAAUACCGCAUAAUAUCUUCUUCCGCAUGGAAGAAGAUUGAAAGACGGCUCUGCUGUCACUUAUAGAUGACCUUGCGGUGCAUUAGUUAGUUGGUGGGGUAAUGGCCUACCAAGACGAUGAUGCAUAGCCGACCUGAGAGGGUGAUCGGCCACAUUGGGACUGAGACACGGCCCAAACUCCUACGGGAGGCAGCAGUAGGGAAUCUUCCGCAAUGGGCGAAAGCCUGACGGAGCAAUGCCGCGUGAGUGAAGAAGGCCUUCGGGUCGUAAAACUCUGUUAUAAGAGAAGAACAAAUUGUAGAGUAACUGCUACAGUCUUGACGGUAUCUUAUCAGAAAGCCACGGCUAACUACGUGCCAGCAGCCGCGGUAAUACGUAGGUGGCAAGCGUUGUCCGGAUUUAUUGGGCGUAAAGGGAGCGCAGGUGGUUUCUUAAGUCUGAUGUGAAAGCCCACGGCUUAACCGUGGAGGGUCAUUGGAAACUGGGAAACUUGAGUACAGAAGAGGAAUGUGGAACUCCAUGUGUAGCGGUGGAAUGCGUAGAUAUAUGGAAGAACACCAGUGGCGAAGGCGACAUUCUGGUCUGUUACUGACACUGAGGCUCGAAAGCGUGGGGAGCAACAGGAUUAGAUACCCUGGUAG